CGGAGAAGAGAAGGGUCAAGUCCGUAGUGGCUCCGUUCUGAUGCUGCAGUUCUCGGUGCUGCCCCUAACGGUCAGGAUGUCCCAAACCAUGUUCUCCGUGAUACCCGUAUAGUGCAUUACAACAGAUUCAACUUGCAGGAAGAGAACAGAAUUCCACUGGAGGUUGAGUAGUUCCCCCUCACACAGGGAAACUGUAACUCACCCACUUCGCUGGACAUCGCAUUGCAAAUUCCAGUGCCUACCCCAGUUAAAUGAGAGCAUUCAUCGGAGGUUUAAACAAAGUGGUUCACAGAAGAGAAAUAUUUCUGUCAGACCAGACGAGGAUUAAAGAUUUCUCAAUUCUACAUCCAUCUCUGAACAGAUUCUACUCUCCAACUUGCAUUUCAUUAUCUGCAAAAUGGCAAAUAGUAUGACCUAUAUUUUCAUUAACGUUUGAAGGAAAGGGGAUGAGCAUGCUUCCAUUCCUGCUAUAAUGCCAGAAUUAUCUCUAUGCUAUCCUAAAAUAUAAACCUCUGAGUGACUUUAA